GCCCGGAUGGCGGAACGGCAGACGCAGGCGGCUUAAACCCGCCGGCUCCGUAAUGGAGCGUGAGGGUUCGAAUCCCUCUCCGGGCA
rnacentral:tRNA from 1 species